AGCAAGUCGGUUCCUGAUUGGCUC
rnacentral:siRNA from 1 species